GCACUAGUAGCUCAAUACAGAGCACCGGUCUUGUAAACCGGUAGAUGGAGGUUCAAAUCCCCCCUAUUGCU
rnacentral:tRNA from 1 species